rnacentral:misc_RNA from 1 species
UCAAACUUGGUCAUUUAGAGGAAGUAAAAGUCGUAACAAGGUUUCCGUAGGUGAACCUGCGGAAGGAUCAUUACCGUUUCAGAUGAGAGAGAGGCACUCGCAAAGCGCAAGCAGCGCGGGACUCUCUCUCUCAUUCUAACUCUCACAAACCCCUUCUCUGUGCAUGUGCGCCAUAUGUGUGUGAUGGGUGUUCACUCACUCACACAUAUACGCCACUUACACAAACUUCAAGUACACAACGCGCGUUUUUGUCUCUUGUGUCUGUACUACACAGACACAAGUGUAAAAACACACAUAUAACCAAAAACACAAAACAAUACUGACCCACCGUUGGUCUGAGAACGUAUGCACAAAAAGCUACGCAGCACUUGCUGCUGCGCACGCUCUGUGUAUGCAAAAACAAAACUAACAUAUAUUACAACUUUUAACAACGGAUAUCUUGGCUCGCGCAUCGAUGAAGAACGCAGC